UACGGAGGAUCCAAGCGUUAUCCGGAUUUAUUGGGUUUAAAGGGUGCGUAGGCGGCCUAUCAAGUCAGAGGUGAAAGACGGUAGCUUAACUAUCGCAGUGCCUUUGAAACUGGUGGGCUUGAAUGUACUUGAGGUAGGCGGAAUGUGACAAGUAGCGGUGAAAUGCAUAGAUAUGUCACAGAACACCGAUUGCGAAGGCAGCUUACUAAAGUAUGAUUGACGCUGAGGCACGAAAGCGUGGGGAUCAAACAGGAUUAGAUACCCUGGUAGUCCACGCCCUAAACGAUGAAUACUCGAUGUUGGCGAUAUACAGUCAGCGUCCAAGCGAAAGCGUUAAGUAUUCCACCUGGGGAGUACGGCCGCAAGGUUGAA
rnacentral:rRNA from 1 species